CUCUCACCUCAGCCUCCCGAGUAGCUGGGGCUACAGGCACGCCACCAUGCCUGGCUAGAGAUGUCCUUUUUAGGUGCUGGGCCUUAGACUCCUGAGUACUGCAUGGGAAUGCUUCCCAAGGUAGGUUUCAUGGUGAUCCACAAAGGAAGAGCUGUGUAUUCAUACGUAUGGGAAUGUCUGGCUGAGCAAGAAUAGGGCCAGCAGCAGAGCCUUUCAUAAGUGAGUCCAGGAAAGGAUGCUGUAGGUCAAUGUUUCACACUGGGGACGAUUUUGCCCUGACCUCCAAGGGACAUUUGACAAUGUCUAGAGACAAAUCUGGUUGUUAUAACUGAGGGUGGGUGGGUGCUACUGGCAUCUAGUGAGUAGACAGAGAUGCUGCCAAAACCCAACAGUGUACAGAGUAGCUAUGCACAAUAAAGAAGAAUCUGGCCCCCAGGAUGGAGAUGCAGCACCUGCCCUCAGCCACUAUGCACUGUGCCGAUACGCAGAGUGGGAAGAGAGGAUCUCAGCUUGGCAGAGCCCAGUAUUGGAUGACAGAUCACUGCCUGCCUGGUACAAAUCUGCGCUGUUCAAUGAACUAUACUUCCUGGCUGAUGGAGGCACAGUAUGGCUGGAAGUUCGUGAGGACUCCCUACCAGAGGAGCUAGGCAGAAACGUGUGUCACCUCUGCCCCACCCUACGGGACUACGGUCGAUUUGGCUACCUUGAGGGCCAGGAGUACCGCAUGUACAACACAUAUGAUGUCCACUUUUAUGCCUCCUUUGCUCUCAUCAUGCUCUGGCCCAAACUUGAGCUCAGCCUACAGUAUGACAUGGCUCUGGCCACUCUCAGGGAGGACCUGACACAGCGACGGUACCUGAUGAGUGUGGUGAUGGCACCUGUGAAAAGGAGGAACGUCAUCGCCCAUGAUAUUGGGGACCCAGAUGAUGAACCAUGGCUCCAGGUCAAUGCAUAUUUGAUCCACGAUACUGCUGACUGGAAGGACCUGAACCUGAAGUUUGUGCUGCAGGUUUAUCGGGACUAUUACCUGACGGGUGAUCAAAACUUCCUGAAGGACAUGUGGCCCGUGUGUCUAGCUGUGAUGGAGUCUGAAAUGAAGUUUGACAAGGACCAUGACGGACUCAUUGAAAAUGGAGGCUACGCAGACCAGACCUAUGAUGGAUGGGUGACCACAGGCCCCAGUGCUUACUGUGGAGGGCUGUGGCCGGCAGCUGUGGCUGUGAUGGUCCAGAUGGCUGCUCUGUGUGGGGCACAGGACAUUCAGGAUAAGUUUUCUUCCAUCCUCCACCGGGGCCAAGAAGCCUAUGAGAGACUGCUGUGGAAUGGCCGCUAUUACAACUAUGACAGCAGCUCUCAGCCUCAGUCUCGUAGUGUUAUGUCUGACCAGUGUGCUGGACAGUGGUUCCUGAAGGCCUGUGGCCUAGGAGAAGGGGAGACUGAGGUGUUUCCUACCCCACAUGUGGUCCGUGCUCUCCAAACUAUCUUUGAGCUGAACGUCCAGGCCUUUGCAGGAGGGGUCAUGGGGGCUGUGAAUGGGAUGCAGCCCCAUGGUGUCCCUGAUAAAUCCAGUGUGCAGUCUGAUGAAGUCUGGGUGGGUGUGGUCUACGGAUUGGCAGCUACCAUGAUCCAAGAGGGCCUGACUUGGGAGGGCUUCCAGACAGCUGAAGGCUGCUACCGUACCGUGUGGGAGCGCCUGGGUCUGGCCUUCCAGACCCCAGAGGCAUACUGCCAGCAGCGGGUGUUCCGCUCACUGGCCUACAUGCGGCCACUGAGCAUCUGGGCCAUGCAGCUAGCCCUGCAACAGCAGCAGCACAAAAAGGCCUCUAGGCCAAAAGUCGAACAGGGCACAGGACUAAGGAUAGGGUCUAUGUUUGGACCAAAGGAAGCCAUGGCAAACGUGAGCCCAGAGUGAACCGUCUGAACUGUGGGAGGAAAGCGCUAACAGCCCAGCCUCCAGCCUGGCCUUUCCUCCUUCUCCUCUGAACCACCUGCAACCCUGAGCCAUCAGGACAAUCAUACCCCUUCCCUUCUCCCCACCCAGCUGUGCCAGUAAAUGGGGGUUGAGGGUGACCUAGGCAGCAUUAGAAUCACUUAUUUCUUUCUUUCCUCACCCAUUCCCUCACUGCAUGAAAUGUUCAGGGAGGUCAGUUGAUUUCCCCAGGUACAUUCAUGGGGUGACAGACACAUGGGUACAAAUAAAAGACCCAGAAAGCCAAAAAAAAAAGAGAAGAAUCUGGCCCAAAGUGUUAGUGUGGUGGGGCUGAGUACACACACCACACUCAUACGUAUUCAUUGAGCUUGAGUGUCAAUGAAUAAUAAUAAUGAUAAUGGACACAUCAGUUUUAUUGAGUUGUCAAGUGUGUCAGGUGUUGUUCUAUGUGCCUCACAUGUAUUAAUCGUUUGAGGUGUCAUCACAAUCCUAUGAGGUUGGUAGUUGCUCCUAUUAUCCUGUAAUACAGAUGGGGAAAUCAGAGACCCAGAGACUCUGAGCGCCUUGCCCAUUGUGACACAGGUGCUAAGUGUUGGAGUUGGGAUUUGAACCCAAGUACCUUGAACUCACUCCAUCACUGCCUUAUGAAGAACAAAUGGCUCAUUCUCUUUCUUGGCCCUAUAUUUGUGCCAUUACUCAUUAGCUCAUGCAGAUGUUUGCUAAGUACCUGUUGGGUUCUAGGUGUUGGGGAUGCAGCUUCGAACAAGGAUGUCCAGUCCUUGCCUUCACCUGGAGAGGGGCGGAUGCUCAAUUCAUGCUUGCAUAAUUUGGUCUUUAUUCACGGCUGUGGGUAGUGCUAUGAAGAAGCUGAACACAGUGCUUUAGAGGUGCAUCAUCGGGGACCCACCACAGAGAGUGGCUUUGUCUUCGUAUAUUCAGAGGAAAAAGACUUUUCCUUCAGAAUGUAAGGAAAUUUCUUAGUUUCAGACAUGAUGCCUUGUGUGUAACUGCUUGUUCCAGCCAGGGCCUCCUGCCCGGGAGGGCUGGGAGAACUGUUGGUAGCUGUGUUCUCAGGAUUCUCCAGAGAAACAGAACCUACAGCGGGUGUGUGUGUGCAUGUGCGUGUGUGUAUA